rnacentral:rRNA from 1 species
UACGUAGGGUGCAAGCGUUGUCCGGAAUUAUUGGGCGUAAAGAGCUCGUAGGCGGUUUGUCGCGUCUGCUGUGAAAACUCGGGGCUUAACUCCGGGCCUGCAGUGGGUACGGGCAGACUAGAGUGCGGUAGGGGAGACUGGAAUUCCUGGUGUAGCGGUGAAAUGUGACGAUAUAUGGAGGAACAUCAAUAACGGCGAAAGCAGUUAACUAUUCUGUUACUGACAUUGAGGCACGAAAGCGUGGGGAGCAAAACGG